GCUGAGACAGGUGCUGCAUGGCUGUCGUCAGCUCGUGUUGUGAAAUGUUGGGUUAAGUCCCGCAACGAGCGCAACCCUUAUCCUCUGUUGCCAGCACUUCGGGUGGGAACUCAGGGGAGACUGCCGGUGAUAAACCGGAGGAAGGUGGGGAUGACGUCAAGUCAUCAUGGCCCUUACGAGUAGGGCUACACACGUGCUACAAUGGCGCAUACAAAGAGAAGCGACCUCGCGAGAGCAAGCGGACCUCAUAAAGUGCGUCGUAGUCCGGAUUGGAGUCUGCAACUCGACUCCAUGAAGUCGGAAUCGCUAGUAAUCGUAGAUCAGAAUGCUACGGUGAAUACGUUCCCGGGCCUUGUACACACCGCCCGUCACACCAUGGGAGUGGGUUGCAAAAGAAGUAGGUAGCUUAACCUUCGGGAGGGCGCUUACCACUUUGUGAUUCAUGACUGGGGUGAAGUCGUAACAAGGUAACCGUAGGGGAACCUGCGGUUGGAUCACCUCCUUACCGAG
rnacentral:rRNA from 1 species